AUCUGCAAUAUGCCUCAGUUGGCAUGUGCAAGAAUUUAUUUGGGACUCAAGAGAGUGUUUCCGUUCAGCCGCCCCAAAACACUACCGAAGUAUUGGACUUUAGUGGAAUCCAGAUUGGCAUGGCAGAGAUCAAGACACAAGAAAGUAUGCAACUUGGGGUGAUGGAUGGA